AGGGUUCGAUUAUGGCUCAGGACGAACGCUGGCGGCGUGCUUUAUACAUGCAAGUCAAGGAGAAUCUAUUCUUCGGAAUAGUAGUAAACUGGCGAACGGGUGAGUAACACGUAGGUAACCUGCCCUAGAGAUUGGGACAACUUCGGGAAACCGGAGCUAAUACCGAAUGACGCAAUAGAUCUUUCGGGAUAUUAUUGUUAAAGCGGGCUUCGGCUCGCACUUUAGGAUGGGCCUGCGUCCGAUUAGCUUGUUGGUGGGGUAAUGGCCUACCAAGGCAAUGAUCGGUAGCUGGUCUGAGAGGAUGAUCAGCCACACUGGGAUUGAGAUACGGCCCAGACCUCUACGGGGGGCAGCAGUAGGGAAUUUUGCGCAAUGGGCGAAAGCCUGACGCAGCAACGCCGCGUGAUCGAUGAAGCUUCUAGGAGCGUAAAGAUCUGUCGUGAGGGAAGAAAAAUUCGGAGGUAAAUAAUUUUCGUUUUUGACGGUACCUCGCAAGAAAGCACCGGCUAACUUCGUGCCAGCCGCCGCGGUAAUAC
rnacentral:rRNA from 1 species